rnacentral:pre_miRNA from 15 species
CAAAUCGUGGCCGUAAAUUGCUUAAAGAGAAGAGAACGUUCGCUGUUGAUGUAGUCGAAUUCAUUUAAUCUUUAUAUCACAGUGGCUGUUCUUUUUUGUUUAACAAUUUUUCAACGUUGAGAAUGA